UAGGAGUUAGGAUGAAGAAGCUAUCCCACUUUCAAAUCAGGUGAUCCCUGUUUUCGUGUUUGGGAAUAUGACAACUUCUUUGUCAUUCUUAUCAAAACAAGAUGAAUCGUGAUGUAAGAAGCUUGAUUGUGAUACAUAAAGUAGUGGAGAAUCACCAGGAAGUUGAAUAAAUAUCAUAGGAGUUAGGAUGAAGUAGCUAUCCCACUUUCAAAUCAGGUAAUCCCAGUUUUUGUGUUUGGGAAUAAAACAACUUCUAUAUCAUUCUAAUCAAACGAGGAUGAAUCGUAAUGUAAGAAGCUUG
rnacentral:lncRNA from 1 species